AUACAUGCAAGUCGAGCGGACAGAUGGGAGCUUGCUCCCUGAUGUUAGCGGCGGACGGGUGAGUAACACGUGGGUAACCUGCCUGUAAGACUGGGAUAACUCCGGGAAACCGGGGCUAAUACCGGAUGGUUGUCUGAACCGCAUGGUUCAGACAUAAAAGGUGGCUUCGGCUACCACUUACAGAUGGACCCGCGGCGCAUUAGCUAGUUGGUGAGGUAACGGCUCACCAAGGCGACGAUGCGUAGCCGACCUGAGAGGGUGAUCGGCCACACUGGGACUGAGACACGGCCCAGACUCCUACGGGAGGCAGCAGUAGGGAAUCUUCCGCAAUGGACGAAAGUCUGACGGAGCAACGCCGCGUGAGUGAUGAAGGUUUUCGGAUCGUAAAGCUCUGUUGUUAGGGAAGAACAAGUGCCGUUCAAAUAGGGCGGCACCUUGACGGUACCUAACCAGAAAGCCACGGCUAACUACGUGCCAGCAGCCGCGGUAAUACGUAGGUGGCAAGCGUUGUCCGGAAUUAUUGGGCGUAAAGGGCUCGCAGGCGGUUUCUUAAGUCUGAUGUGAAAGCCCCCGGCUCAACCGGGGAGGGUCAUUGGAAACUGGGGAACUUGAGUGCAGAAGAGGAGAGUGGAAUUCCACGUGUAGCGGUGAAAUGCGUAGAGAUGUGGAGGAACACCAGUGGCGAAGGCGACUCUCUGGUCUGUAACUGACGCUGAGGAGCGAAAGCGUGGGGAGCGACCAGGAUUAGAUACGCUGGUAGUCCACGCCGUAAAACGAUGAGUGACUAAGUGUAGGGGGUUUCCCCCCCCUCAGUGCUGCAGCUAACCCAUUAAGCACUCGGCCUGGCGAGUAUGGACGCAAGACUGAUACUCAAAGGAAUAGACAGGGGGCCCGCACACCUGUUGCAGCCUGUGUUUUGUAUCUAAGUCACGCAAAAACA
rnacentral:rRNA from 1 species